GCAAGUCGAACGGUAACAGGAAGUAGCUUGCUACUUUGCUGACGAGUGGCGAACGGGUGAGUAACGCGUAGGAACGUACCGAUUGAUGGGGGACAACUUGAGGAAACUCGAGCUAAUACCGCAUAAUACCUGAGGGUUAAAGGUGGCUUCGGCUGCCGUCAAUUGAUCGGCCUGCGUCAGAUUAGCUUGUUGGUGAGGUAAAGGCUCACCAAGGCGACGAUCUGUAGCUGUUCUGAGAGGAAGAUC
rnacentral:rRNA from 1 species